rnacentral:rRNA from 1 species
ACGAAAUCUGCAGUCGACGAUUCCUACGGGAGGCAGCAGGAGGGAAUAUUGCGCAAUGGGCGAAAGCCUGACGCAGCAACGCCGCGUGAGGGAUGACGGCCUUCGGGUUGUAAACCUCUUUCAGUGGGGACGAAAUUGACGGUACCCACAGAAGAAGCACCGGCCAACUACGUGCCAGCAGCCGCGGUAAUACGUAGGGUGCAAGCAUUGUCCGGAUUUAUUGGGCGUAAAGAGCUCGUAGGCGGCUUAACAAGUCGGUCGUGAAAUACCGAGGCUCAACCUCGGGGAGUCGGUCGAAACUGUUAUGGCUAGAGUACGGUAGAGGAGAGUGGAAUUCCCGGUGUAGCGGUGGAAUGCGCAGAUAUCGGGAGGAACACCAGUAGCGAAGGCGGCUCUCUGGGCCGUUACUGACGCUGAGGAGCGAAAGCGUGGGGAGCAAACAGGAUUAGAUACCCUGGUAGUCCACGCUGUAAACGUUGGGAACUAGGUGUUGCGGUCUGAUCAAUGACUGCGGUGCCGAAGCUAACGCAUUAAGUUCCCCGCCUGGGGAGUACGGCCGCAAGGCUAAAACUCAAAGGAAUUGACGG